AGCAUAAAGAGGAAAUCCCGUGGAAGCUGGAAAUGCUGUGAGCCUGCUCUCUCCUACUGGUGGAACAGUCCUCAUUCCUUCAACCAUUAUUCCUGUUAUAUAGUUUCAAGAUCCGUUGUUGCCCUGAUUAUUUUCCUCGGAAAAAGACUCAUUUUGUUUAUAACCGUUUUAGCAGAUGCUGCUGGUCCUUUGGCUGACCUAGCAGUACAUGGCUGGGGCGGUACGUGGUCCUCUCACUGUUGUGGCGUCUCCCGUUGCAGAGCACAGGCUCCAGACGCGCAGGCUCAGUGGCCAUGGCUCACGGGCCCAGCCGCUCGGCGGCAUGUGGGAUCUUCCCGGACCAGGACACGAAC